rnacentral:tRNA from 1 species
GCCGAAGUGGUGGAAUGGCAGACACGACGGUCUCAAACACCGUUGAGCGAGAGCUCAUGGGGGUUCGACUCCCCCCUUCGGCACCA